rnacentral:lncRNA from 1 species
UCCAUUUGGCAGGGGUCAGAUGCAAAAACCUUUUGAAGAAGCAACCUGUGAUGCUCUUAAGUUGGCGAUAAUCAUGGUCCUCUGAUGUCUGCCAAUGAUGAUGCAUUCAUUGUUGGUCUUUGUUUUAGCCUAUAGCUCUCAGGAAUUGAAAGUAGCAUGGUGCUAAGACAAAAGUUCAGAUGUUAUUUGAUAUGCUUCUAAUUUAUAUGUAUUGUGAAGGGGUUAUAAAAUAAUGUUGUUACCACUUCCAACGAUGCACAUAAUUGGGAGUUCACUCACUUAUUAUUUGUGACCUAUUGCCUGAUAAACGACAAGGUCGCAUAUCUUCCAAGUAGUGUGAUCGUUUGGAGCUUUGUACUAUUGCCUCUGUUAGAGAUCAGAUCAUAUUGAAUAUCGUCCUGUAUCUCCUAACCCUACCAAGUCCCUGGCAAAGUUCUUCCCAUGUGUAAAAAGAGAAUCUUUAUGAUGGCCAUAGUUAACUGAGAACAUGAUUGAGAAGGUUAAAAUCUCCCAGUCGUCUACUUAUGUAAUUUGUAAACAAUUGCUCCAUAGUGAAGCCACGCUUUCAUGACUUUCUUCCAACAGCAUGCCAACCUUACCUUUUUUAGCAUGUGUCUGGUGGCACUUUUAAGUAUGACCUUCUGCAUCAUUUUCCCCUUAAUGAGAUAGUUUCUGCUUAUGUCAAUUGCUAGAGCAUGCCCUGUUGGAGUGGAUUAGGCAAACAAGCAUACGAGAGGAGCAAGAUGGUUGAAGGGGAUUGAAUUGAAUUUUGUUUUUAUGCAAAUGCUACAAAUGGGUGUUGAAACCGGAGUUGCAUCCUUGCUGUUGGUGGCAUUUGAGGACUCUAGGGACCUGCAUGGACUUGCCUCUUUGGAUCUUAUUGGAACUUGAUCUGUUGCAUUUAAUAUCGUUGGUAAGGGAGAUUAUAAAAUUAUAUUAAUUAUUAUGGCAUCACCUAAGUUUUAUUGAAGAUGUUACAUAAUUUGACCUAUGACAUCAUUGAUCUUUUGAAUUAGAGUAAAGAGUUGAAAUAGGCACUUUUAUGUGACUGCAAUCUAAUUUUUUGGUUGUUGGUGCGCCCUGUACAAAAUUUGCUUUACGUCAAACUGAAACUGUGUGCAUUUAUCUGUAUAUAUGCAUAUCCUAUAGCUUUGCUCGAAAAUUUUUCUCCCAAUCAAGUGCUUGUGCACCUAGAAAUGUGUAUGGAUCAGUUACGGUGAAAAGAUCCUCGCAUGACUUGAUCACGCCGCCUAUGAAGUCAGAAUGCCCUUAUGGAUGUUGAAUUUCUAUCACUUUUCAAAUCAAAAUGAAGAAAAAUAAAUUCCUUCUCUUCUUUUCUCUUUCCUUUUCCUUUACUAAUUGGAUCUUCACCUUUGUUUCCAUUGUAAUUUUCAUCCUGGCUGCAAUUUUCUUAAUAAAAAAAAAGUCAUUAUAGCAUGAAGAAAAUGACAGGUAUUCUGACUUGGAUUAUGUGACAAUUUGUCUUUGGGGUGGGUUUGAAUAAAAACCAGUUUGAAUGUCAAUGUUGAACUAAACUGUAACUAGUUGUAAAUUUUCGGGCAGGUCCAUUUGGCAGGGGUCAGAUGCAAAAACCUUUUGAAGAAGCAACAUAUGCUCUUAAGGUUGGCGAUAUCUGCAACGUUGUGGAUACUCACAGCGGGGUACACAUUAUCGUGAGAACCGGUUGAUUAACUUCUGUAAAUCUUGCCAAAAUGCUGAAGCACCAGUUACAAGCAAAGAGAUGAAAGCAUUGAAAUAUGAUUUUCCCUUAUUAGGGAAAUGCCAGCUUGGUAUUGUAGUACCCAAUUGUCAAUGUUCUGAGUUAUAUAUACUCUGGAGACAUUCUUGCAGAGAACGGAUCUCUAUCAUUGGGAUGAUUGAAUUGUUGUGAAACAUACUGAACUUUGUCUUAAUUGCACUGGAAUUCGGAAGGUUGGGAUUCAUUCAAAGAUUUUGGACUUCAUUCCAAUUUAAAAGG